rnacentral:rRNA from 1 species
AUUGAACGCUGGCGGCAUGCCUUACACAUGCAAGUCGAACGGUAACAGGUCUUCGGAUGCUGACGAGUGGCGAACGGGUGAGUAAUACAUCGGAACGUGCCCAGUCGUGGGGGAUAACUACGCGAAAGCGUAGCUAAUACCGCAUACGAUCUAUGGAUGAAAGCGGGGGAUCGCAAGACCUCGCGCGAUUGGAGCGGCCGAUGGCAGAUUAGGUAGUUGGUGGGGUAAAGGCUCACCAAGCCGACGAUCUGUAGCUGGUCUGAGAGGACGACCAGCCACACUGGGACUGAGACACGGCCCAGACUCCUACGGGAGGCAGCAGUGGGGAAUUUUGGACAAUGGGCGCAAGCCUGAUCCAGCCAUGCCGCGUGCAGGAUGAAGGCCUUCGGGUUGUAAACUGCUUUUGUACGGAACGAAAAGUCUCUUUCUAAUAAAGAGGGAUCAUGACGGUACCGUAAGAAUAAGCACCGGCUAACUACGUGCCAGCCGCCGCCGUAA